rnacentral:hammerhead_ribozyme from 1 species
AUCCAGCUGACGAGUCCCAAAUAGGGCGUAACGCGCAUCCUUGAU